GAUGAACGCUGGCGGCGUGCCUAAUACAUGCAAGUCGAGCGAACAGACGAGGAGCUUGCUCCUCUGACGUUAGCGGCGGACGGGUGAGUAACACGUGGAUAACCUACCUAUAAGACUGGGAUAACUUCGGGAAACCGGAGCUAAUACCGGAUAAUAUAUUGAACCGCAUGGUUCAAUAGUGAAAGACGGUUUUGCUGUCACUUAUAGAUGGAUCCGCGCCGCAUUAGCUAGUUGGUAAGGUAACGGCUUACCAAGGCAACGAUGCGUAGCCGACCUGAGAGGAGGAUAAGCAACACUGGAACUGUGACACGGUCCAGACGCCUACGGGAGGGAGCAGUGGGGAAUAUUGGACAAUGUGCGAAAGCCUGAUCCAGCUAUGACGCGUGUGUGAAGAAGGUCUUCGGAUUGUAAAGCAUUUUAAGUUGGGAGGAAGGGCAGUAAGCUAAUACCUGGCUGUUGUGACGGUACCAACAGAAUAAGCACCGGCUAACUUCGUG
rnacentral:rRNA from 1 species